AUUAAAGAUAUUAUCCCCUUGUAGUGUAGUUUAAUAGCUAUCUACAUAAUAACUUAAUAUAAAGUAUAAUAGUUUAUAUUUUAUAAUAUGACAUUAACAAUUUUGUUUAAUAUUUGAAAAUGUUAGUAUUAGUAAUAAUAGUAUAUGUGCUAAAGGAACUCGGCAAAAAACCACUCAACUGUUUAUCAAAAACAUAGCUAUAUGAAUUAAUAUAUAGUUAUUUCUGCUCAAUGACUUAAAUAGCCGCAGUACUCUGACUGUGCAAAGGUAGCAUAAUCAGUUGGCUUUUAAUUAGAGUCUGGUAUGAACGAAAAUAUGGGUAGUAACUGUCUUAGCACAUUUUUCCGAACUUAUUAAACAAGUGCAAAUGCUUGUAAUUUAACAAUAGACGAGAAGACCCUAGAAACUUGGACAAGUUUUUGUUGGGGCGACAGAAUUACAUUUAACUAAUCUUAUAAUACACGACGCGAUGUUGAAAGAAUAAGUUACUCUAGGGAUAACAGCAUAAUUUCAUUAGUUUGUGACCUCGAUGUUGGACUAGGUACUAUACCCUUAAGGCAAGGAUAUAUUAUGCUCUGUUCGAGCAAAAUUACCUACAUGAUCUGAGUUCAGACCGG
rnacentral:rRNA from 1 species